AACGCACAUUGCGCCCGCCAGCAUUCUGGCGGGCAUGCCUGUUCGAGCGUCAUUUCAACCCUCGACAUCCCUUUGGGGAAGUCGGCGUUGGGGACCGGCAGCACACCGCCGGCCCCGAAAUUGAGUGGCGGCCCGUCCGCGGCGACCUCUGCGUAGUAAUCCAACCUCGCACCGGAACCCCGACGUGGCCACGCCGUAAAACACCCAACUUUCUGAACGUUGACCUCGGAUCAGGUAGGAAUACCCGCUGAACUUAA
rnacentral:misc_RNA from 1 species